UGGCAAGCGUUGUCCGGAUUUACUGGGCGUAAAGCGUGCGCAGGCGGUCCGCUAAGACAGAUGUGAAAUCCCCGGGCUUAACCUGGGAACUGCAUUUGUGACUGGCGGGCUAGAGUAUGGCAGAGGGGGGUAGAAUUCCACGUGUAGCAGUGAAAUGCGUAGAGAUGUGGAGGAAUACCGAUGGCGAAGGCAGCCCCCUGGGCCAAUACUGACGCUCAUGCACGAAAGCGUGGGGAGCAAACA
rnacentral:rRNA from 1 species